rnacentral:rRNA from 1 species
AUUGAACGCUGGCGGCAUGCCUUACACAUGCAAGUCGAACGGUAACAGGUCUUCGGAUGCUGACGAGUGGCGAACGGGUGAGUAAUACAUCGGACCGUGCCUAGUAGUGGGGGAUAACUACUCGAAAGAGUGGCUAAUACCGCAUGAGAUCUACGGAUGAAAGCAGGGGAUCGCAAGACCUUGUGCUACUAGAGCGGCCGAUGGCAGAGUAGGUAGUUGGUGGGGUAAAAGCUUACCAAGCCGACGAUCUGAAGCUGGUCUGAGAGGACGAUCAGCCACACUGGGACUGUGACACGGGCCAGACUGCUACGGGAGGCAGCAGUGGGUAAUUCUGUAAACUGGGCGAAAGGCUGAUGCAGCAAUGCCGCGUGCAGUACGAAGGCCUUCGGGUUGUAAACUGCUUUUGUACGGAACGGAAAGCCCCGGGUUAAUACCCUGGGGUCAUGACGGUACCGUAAGAAUAAGCACCGGCUAACUACGUGCCAGCCGCCGCGGUAA